GGAUAUCAAAAGAAGAGUGUUAUGAAAAAUUGGUGUGGAUCCCAUCGCUUAUGGAUAUCUCAUAUUCUCAUGUAAUAUAAUGUGUGUUACACACAUUGAGUGUGGGGAGGAGUAAUAUGAAGACAGCAACCCAUUUGAUUUCUGCAUAUCAUUUGUUUGGAAACUUGGCAAACGUUGAUUGCUUAGAUAUUAGAAUGUACUAUGAACGGGCUUGAAAU
rnacentral:lncRNA from 1 species